CCGAACGCGGCCCUGCCCGGAGCCGAGGCUGCAGCGCCUGAGGCGCGGACUCAGGUGUGACCGAUCCUCAGCGUCUGCUACCAGUGCUCACGGCACUUCUGUACCUUCACGGCCUUCCUGUUCCUGGCUUCGCCAGCCGCCCCUACACCUUUCCCAGCCGCCCUUAGGCGCCAACAGAGCGUUCCGCAAACGCCCUUCAGCCCUUCGUGCGGGCGCUCAUCCACUCACAGCCGCUCUUUCUUCUUCCUCAGCUGUCCUCGGUUCUCGUGCCGUUUAGCUUGCUCCACAGCUGCUGCUCCGAACGGUUCUCCUUGUCUUCCCACAGUUCCCCCCUUUCUGUUUAUUUGCAAACUACAACAUAAUAACACCAAUUGUCUUGCUAAAAUAAUGGGUGUAACUCAAUCGAGCCCUCGACUGACAGUACUCCGAGGCAAGGCAAACACAGCAUAAUGACAAGAAACACUGUCAGCCCACUGAAAAGAACAACACACGUUUGGCUGCAACCCAAGUUUCUGCAACCUGGAAAUAAAUCCCUGAGGGUCCCGUUCUGUGUAACUGGUUAGGAAAAGGUCUUCAACUUUUGCAUAUUCUGAUGGAUUCUGAUUCUGAACGAUCACUAAAGGUGGAUGGGAAAGUUGCAGGAACAGAACACUUGUGAAGGUACAGAAGUGACGUGAGCACUGGUAACACACGAUGAGGAUGCAUCAAAUCCUGUUUACUCACAUUCGAUCCACUACUGAAAUAAAAGAAGCACGCAGCAACCUAGAUAACGCCUAAGAAUUCCAAUUCUUGAGACCGCCUUGACAACACAGGGAAAUCACCCGCUACAUCACACCAUUACUGACGUUGUUAUGUGCAAUGCAACACAUGUUACAAAGCAGUGCCAGCAAGCAAGAAGCACACAAUCCCAGUCGUAAGGGAUGAUGCUACUUUCUGCCUUGAGAGGAGGACGAGCACGUCGUGCUGGAACCCACGUGGGGCCAGUCCCUGUGGAAGCACAAGCAUAUCCACGACCCCAAGCUAUCAGCGGACAGGGACCUUCCCAGCAGCGCGGGGCCGUGCUCCGAACGUUGACCAUUGGCCGUUCCUCGAGCACUGGGCAGGCCCCGAAAUGACGAUCCACACCAGUUGCAUCUGUGUGGUGACGAUUCAAAACAGUCAGCACAAGCAGAGCCUUGCAUAAUCUUUCUCGUGGCGCGUGUCCCGUAUUCCCCUUCUUUGUUCCUUACGAACGGACUGCAGCGUUUGAUGAGUGUGCUCGAUGGUAGCUUGUGCAGCGGGAGAACGAGGGAUGCCUGCAAUGCGCCCAAUUCCCACAGAAGAGUGUGGGAAAGCAGCUUUGCGUUCCCUUUGCUGAAGGAACUGGGGACCAGGUUUCACGAUUGCUGAAAAAACGGUUUCGUAGAAAGGAGAACAAGGAAAAUUAUCCUUGUUAGCCCGUGUCCACCAACUUCAUCAUAGAUUUUGCCUGUGGCCCAAGACAAUUCCUCUUCCUUCAUUCAGGGCGUUCUUAUCUUGCGCAGUCCUAAGCUGAUGACCAACUAUUCUGCCUUCCACAUUGUCGAGACAACAUGAGUGCCAAGCAAGGCACCGAGGCCAGUAGAGAGGAUGGAGAAAUGGAAAUCAUCCUUUGUUGAAAUUAAAUAACGCCAUCAUAACCCCACAUAUUGGAACUGCAACAGUUCAAGCCACCCACAUGAUGACAGAAGAAGCAAUAGCAAACAUGCUGUCCGUUCUCAACUGUCAACCCGUUCCAAGUGAAGUGUUUCCCCAAUGAUGCGCACCAAACAGCAGCGCUAAAUCUCUGGCCCACGAGAAAGCUCCGUUUCAUACAGAACCACUAUUAGUUUUGAGCAGGAAAAAAAAGCAGCCGUGUUCCUGCACAGCUCUUUUGGUCAAUCUGCUGCAAAGCUGUCAACUCGCUCAGCUUACUCUGUACUGGCAUUUACAAAUUCAAAACAGCGAAGUGGAACAGAUAAAACGGUUCCGUUUGAA